GCAGAUGUUAGAGCACCAACAAGAUGCAAAAGCUUUUUUUUUUUUCUUUUUUUGCCUUGCUUUCAGGAGAGGACAAAGUGUGGACCAUAGUGUCUCAUGACUUGCAGAUGCAGACGCCUGUGGUCGGCUACAACCCAGAAAAGUACUCAGUGACACAGCUCGUUUACAGCGCCUCCAUGGACCAGAUAAGUGCCAUCACUGACAGUGCCGAGUACUGUGAGCAGUAUGUCUCCUAUUUCUGCAAGAUGUCAAGAUUGUUGAACACCCCAGAUGGAAGCCCUUACACUUGGUGGGUUGGCAAAGCCAACGAGAAGCACUACUACUGGGGAGGCUCUGGGCCUGGAAUCCAGAAAUGUGCCUGCGGCAUCGAACGCAACUGCACAGAUCCCAAGUACUACUGUAACUGCGACGCGGACUACAAGCAAUGGAGGAAGGAUGCUGGUUUCUUAUCGUACAAAGAUCACCUGCCAGUGAGCCAAGUGGUGGUUGGAGAUACUGACCGUCAAGGCUCAGAAGCCAAAUUGAGCGUAGGUCCUCUGCGCUGCCAAGGAGACAGGAAUUAUUGGAACGCCGCCUCUUUCCCAAACCCAUCCUCCUACCUACACUUCUCUACUUUCCAAGGGGAAACCAGCGCUGACAUUUCUUUCUACUUCAAAACAUUAACCCCCUGGGGAGUGUUUCUUGAAAAUAUGGGAAAGGAAGAUUUCAUCAAGCUGGAGCUGAAGUCUGCCACAGAAGUGUCCUUUUCAUUUGAUGUGGGAAAUGGGCCAGUAGAGAUUGUAGUGAGGUCACCAACCCCUCUCAACGAUGACCAGUGGCACCGGGUCACUGCAGAGAGGAAUGUCAAGCAGGCCAGCCUACAGGUGGACCGGCUACCCCAGCAGAUCCGCAAGGCCCCAACAGAAGGCCACACCCGCCUGGAGCUCUACAGCCAGUUAUUUGUGGGUGGUGCUGGGGGCCAGCAGGGCUUCCUGGGCUGCAUCCGCUCCUUGAGGAUGAAUGGGGUGACACUUGACCUGGAGGAAAGAGCAAAGGUCACAUCUGGGUUCAUAUCCGGAUGCUCGGGCCAUUGCACCAGCUAUGGAACAAACUGUGAAAACGGAGGAAAAUGCCUAGAGAGAUACCACGGUUACUCCUGCGAUUGCUCUAAUACUGCAUAUGAUGGAACAUUUUGCAACAAAGAUGUUGGCGCAUUUUUUGAAGAAGGGAUGUGGCUACGAUAUAACUUUCAGGCACCAGCAACAAAUGCCAGAGACUCCAGCAGCAGAGUAGACAACGCUCCCGACCAGCAGAACUCCCACCCGGACCUGGCACAGGAGGAGAUCCGCUUCAGCUUCAGCACCACCAAGGCGCCCUGCAUUCUCCUCUACAUCAGCUCCUUCACCACAGACUUCUUGGCAGUCCUCGUCAAACCCACCGGAAGCUUACAGAUUCGAUACAACCUGGGUGGCACCCGAGAGCCAUACAAUAUUGACGUAGACCACAGGAACAUGGCCAAUGGACAGCCCCACAGUGUCAACAUCACCCGCCACGAGAAGACCAUCUUUCUCAAGCUCGAUCAUUAUCCUUCUGUGAGUUACCAUCUGCCAAGUUCAUCCGACACCCUCUUCAAUUCUCCCAAGUCGCUCUUUCUGGGAAAAGUUAUAGAAACAGGGAAAAUUGACCAAGAGAUUCACAAAUACAACACCCCAGGAUUCACUGGUUGCCUCUCCAGAGUCCAGUUCAACCAGAUCGCCCCUCUCAAGGCCGCCUUGAGGCAGACAAACGCCUCGGCUCACGUCCACAUCCAGGGCGAGCUGGUGGAGUCCAACUGCGGGGCAUCGCCACUGACCCUCUCCCCCAUGUCGUCCGCCACCGACCCCUGGCACCUGGAUCACCUGGAUUCAGCCAGUGCGGAUUUUCCGUAUAAUCCAGGACAAGGCCAAGCUAUAAGAAAUGGAGUCAACAGAAACUCGGCUAUCAUUGGAGGCGUCAUUGCUGUGGUGAUUUUCACCAUCCUGUGCACCCUGGUCUUCCUGAUCCGGUACAUGUUCCGCCACAAGGGCACCUACCAUACCAACGAGGCAAAGGGGGCGGAGUCGGCAGAGAGCGCGGACGCCGCCAUCAUGAACAACGACCCCAACUUCACAGAGACCAUUGAUGAAAGCAAAAAGGAAUGGCUCAUUUGAGGGGUGGCUACUUGGCUAUGGGAUAGGGAGGAGGGAAUUACUAGGGAGGAGAGAAAGGGACAAAAGCACCCUGCUUCAUACUCUUGAGCACAUCCUUAAAAUAUCAGCACAAGUUGGGGGAGGCAGGCAAUGGAAUAUUCUUGAGACUGAUCA
rnacentral:sRNA from 1 species